rnacentral:lncRNA from 1 species
GUAUUCCCCAUCGACCUACUACUUUCACCAACAACUACAUUAUGAAAUACACCAUCAGUGCCAUCAGUCUCUCCAUGACUAGUCCACACAAAAUAAUUAUCCAUAAACCCUAUUUGAUAAAGAUGAAUCUUAACAUCUGCCGAUUCAAAAUAAUGCAAACACUUGCACUUUACACAAGGACACCUAAUCAACCGUCCAAUUCGAAACGGUUCAAGUUACAUUCCAUGCGUAAUAAAUUCCUCAACCCCUUCUCUAAAUUCCUCCCUCAAAAACCGACGAUUAGGAUAAUUCCUAUUAUACAUCCAACUACGAGAUUCCAUCUAGAUAAAGAACAAAUAAAUUAUAUUAAUCAUAGUUAAUUGUGAUUGCAGCAGCAAUAUUGACAAAAGAAAAUGACCAUAGUGUUGACAAAUGAUUGCAGCAACAAACUAUUAACACAAGGGCAUUAAUAUAUCUAGUACUUAUAAUUGAAAAAAAAAAUGGUGGAUUUAGGUGACAUUAAUGUCCAGGUUAAUCCAGGUUAAUCCACUUCCUGGUUCUAUAAUAGAAUGUCACACAACCAUUUUAAGUUAGAUGACUAACUGUCAGAUGUUGUUCAUACCUUUGAAGGAUUUACAUUUAAGUGUAUUCGACUAUAUUUACAAAACAUUGAGGUUCAACUGGAAGUGAGUUUAUUAGUAGCUUGAGUAAGUGAUGUAUUCCUCGUGAGUUAGUACUAUCUUUUGUUUUGAUUAUCGUGCACUAGUAUCUAAAUGUCCUAUGUCAACAAAUCAAUAGCCAUUAGUAGCUCGUGAAAUUCAAACUCAUACAAAAAUAGCAGCGCAACAAAUUACAACCAUAGAUAUCGGAUCCAAAAUGAAACAUA